GCAUUAAUAGUAUAAGUAAUACGUUGAAUUUAGAUUUCAAAAAAAAAUAAUGUUA
rnacentral:tRNA from 1 species